rnacentral:rRNA from 1 species
AUUGAACGCUGGCGGCAAGCCUAACACAUGCAAGUCGAACGGGCUCUUCGGAGCUAGUGGCGGACGGGUGAGUAACACGUGGGAACGUGCCUUUAGGUUCGGAAUAAGCCCGGGAAACUGGGUCUAAUACCGAAUGUGCCCUUCGGGGGAAAGAUUUAUCGCCUUUAGAGCGGCCCGCGUCUGAUUAGCUAGUUGGUGAGGUAAUGGCUCACCAAGGCGACGAUCAGUAGCUGGUCUGAGAGGAUGACCAGCCACAUUGGGACUGAGACACGGCCCAAACUCCUACGGGAGGCAGCAGUGGGGAAUCUUGCGCAAUGGGCGAAAGCCUGACGCAGCCAUGCCGCGUGGAUGAUGAAGGUCUUAGGAUUGUAAAAUCCUUUCACCGGUGAAGACAAUGACUGUAGCCGGAGAAGAAGCCCCGGCUAACUUCGUGCCAGCAGCCGCCGUAAUAC